GAUGAAGAACGUAGCGAAAUGCGAUAAGUAAUGUGAAUUGCAGAAUUCAGUGAAUCAUCGAAUCUUUGAACGCACCUUGCACCCUUUGGCAUUCCGAAGGGUAUGCUCGUUUGAGUGUCAUUGUACUCUCACACUCUCCGAUCCUAUGGAUUCGGGGAGCGGUGGACUUGGGUGUUGCUGCCUUUCCUUGUGGCUCACCUCAAAUGUGUCAGUGCACCUCUUGGUUGGACAUAGUACGGCGUGAUAAGUGUCUUCGCCGGCACCUCGCAAGAGGGUGGCCGAUCGGGAGCUCUGUGCUUUCAAACCGUCUUCGGACAAUUUCUAACAACUUGACCUCAAAUCGAGUAGGACUACCCGCUGAACUUAAGCAUAUCAAUAAGCGGAGGA
rnacentral:misc_RNA from 1 species